GGCGGCACGCCUAACACAUGCAAGUCGAACGAAGUAGCAAUACUUAGUGGCAGACGGGUGAGUAACAUGUGGGUAUCUACCCUUUGGCCUGGAAUAACACGAGGAAACUUGUGCUAAUACCGGAUAAGUCUUUACGGAGAAAGCUUUAUGCACCAUUGGAUGAGCCUGCACUUGAUUAGUUUGUUGGUGGGGUAAUGGCCUACCAAGACUGUGAUCAAUAGCUGAUUUGAGAGGAUGAUCAGCCACAUUGGGACUGAGACACGGCCCAAACUCCUACGGGAGGCAGCAGUGGGGAAUCUUGCACAAUGGAGGAAACUCUGAUGCAGCGAUGCCGCGUGAGUGAAGAAGGCCUUUGGGUUGUAAAGCUCUUUCGUCGGGGAAGAAAAUGACUGUACCCGAAUAAGAAGGUCCGGCUAACUUCGUGCCAGCAGCCGCGGUAAUACGAAGGGACCUAGCGUAGUUCGGAAUUACUGGGCUUAAAGAGUUCGUAGGUGGUUGAAAAAGUUAGUGG
rnacentral:rRNA from 1 species